rnacentral:rRNA from 1 species
UACGUAGGGUGCGAGCGUUGUCCGGAAUUACUGGGCGUAAAGAGCUCGUAGGUGGUUUGUCGCGUCGGGAGUGAAAACUCAGGGCUUAACCCUGAGCCUGCUUCCGAUACGGGCAGACUAGAGGUAUGCAGGGGAGAACGGAAUUCCUGGUGUAGCGGUGAAAUGCGCAGAUAUCAGGAGGAACACCGGUGGCGAAGGCGGUUCUCUGGGCAUUACCUGACGCUGAGGAGCGAAAGUGUGGGGAGCGAACAGG